rnacentral:rRNA from 1 species
AUGGACAUGCUAGCAACUAGAGCGACCUGGUUGGCCAUAGCUAUCUUCUUCAUAACUGUUGUAGCCACGAAGAUUUCAAGAUGGAAAAGCAAUGUCCAUCUGUUCCCCACAAGACCACUUCCACCUGUCGUGAAUGUCCUUGCUCUCUUACCUUCAAUUUUUAACAAGGGUUUUGGGGUUACAAUCGCUGAUCUGCACACAAGACUUGGCAGUGUGUUUACAAUAAAUUUGUUUGGGCCAAAGAUAACCUUGUUGGUUGGACCUGAUAUCUCAGCUCAUUUCUUCCAAGGGCUGGAGUCGGAGAUUAGCUUUGGAAAUUUCGCGGAGGUUACCGUUCCCAUAUUUGACCAAGAAGUUUUGUAUGGUGUAGAUAUGGCAACUCGCAGUGAGCAAAUACACUUCAUCGUUGAUGUACUAAAGCCAUCCAAGCUGCGGAGCCUCGUUGAUCCCAUAUUGCAAGAAGUAGAGGCCUACUUUGCAAGCUGGGGACAAGAGGGCAUAGUUGAUCUUAAACAUGAACUCGAGCAGGUGCUCAUGUUUAUCUCAAGUCGGUUCCUACUCGGAUAUGAGGUUCGUGAGAUGAUGCUGGAAGAAGUUUCAUCAUUGUUUCAUGAACUUGAGAAUGGCUUAAACUUUUUUAGUUUCUUGUUCCCCUAUAUUCCAACCCCGACAAACCGCCGACGCGACAAGGCCCACAUCAGGCUUAAAGAAAUAUUCACUACAACUAUCAGGUCACGCAGGAGCUCCGGCCGAGUUCAGGAGGAUGCACUGCAGAGGUUGAUGAAUUCCAAAUAUAAAGACGGUCGCUCUGCAUCCGAAGCAGAAAUUUGCGGCAUGAUCAUAGCACUCAUAUUUGCUGGAAAGCACCCAAGCUCCAGCACUAGUAUAUGGACUGGAGCUUUCAUGUUGAGCAACACCAAAUUCUUAAUAGCUGCCGUGGAGGAGCAAAAGCAUAUAAUUAGCAAGUACAAGAACCAAAUAGGCUAUGAUGCAUUUUCAGAGAUGGAUACCCUGCAUAGAUGCAUCAAGGAGGCACUUCGGAUGCAUACACCAGCGCAAAUGUUAGCUCGCAAGGCACAUAAGAAAUUCAAGGUGCAGACCAAGGAAGGCAAGGAAUAUGACAUACCUGAAGGGCAUAACAUUGUAAUCCCUACUGCACUCAACAAUAAGCUGGCACAUGUUUACAAUGACCCUCAUGCGUACGAUCCAGAUCGGUUUGGUCCUGGAAGAGAGGAGGACAAAGUUGGCGGCAAGUACUCUUUCACAACAUUUGGUGGUGGAAGGCAUGUUUGUUCUGGCAUGGCCUUGGCUUACCUGCAAAUUAAGGUCAUAUGGAGCCAUCUAUUAAGAAACUUUGAGCUCAAGCUAAUAUCUCCAUUCCCUAAGGUGGAUGUGAGCAAGGUGGGUCAAGAGCCUAAAGGAAAAGUAAUGAUAAGCUAUAACAGACGCCAGCUACAGUGCUACUAG